rnacentral:rRNA from 1 species
UACCGGCAGCACAAGUGGUUUCCACGAUUAUUGGGCUUAAAGCGUCAGUAGCUGGCUGGAACCGUCUUAUGUGAAAUAUCCGUGCUUAACGCGGAUGCGUGCAUAAGAUACCUUCCGGCUAGGGAGUGGGCGAGGUGUGGAGUACUUAUGGGGUAGGGGUAAAAUCCUGUAAUCCUAUAAGGACUACCGGUGGCGAAGGCGCCACACCAGAACACAUCCGACAGUGAGUGACGAAGGCUAGGAGAACGAAUCGG